GGGGGCAUGGCUCAAAUGGUAGAGGACCAGCCAAUCAUGUAAGUCUAGAAAGAGUGAGUUUGUAAGAGUAGCAAGAACGAGUUUGAAACUUGAAUAACCUGGUAUACACACAAACACACACACACACACACAGAGUAUGAAUGUUAGAUUGUAACAAGGAAUAUUUCGUGUCAAGUCCAGAUCAAAUAACAGUAAUGUGGCUCAAAAACUGAGCUCUUCCAGCAUUGGAUUCAUAUAUGAGAAAAAUAAAAAUGCAAAUUCAUUUGUUGAAAAACACGUAUAUAUGAACCAUUGAUUCUACAAUAGUUUCCUUGAUCUCUCACUACAUUCCCUUUGUAAAAUAGUUAUACAGUUACAAUUUUUUACUUUAAACCAUUAACAUAUUUAUGAACAAUAGGAAAUAAUUGACAAAACUGUUUUCAUAAGCCUAGACAGCAUUGUUUGGGUGGGGAACCUUAACAACUUUGCCCUUCAUAUGAAUUCCAAGGCCUAAGUGAAAAAAGCUCGCCAAACAAGAACCAUCUGUGGAAAUUACAUUUGCUACACUGAAAAGAGACUUCAAAAGCCCUCCAUGAAAAAAUAUUUUGAAUGGCUGGUCAGGGAUAUCAAACAGGAAAAGAUGAAACUGCCCUGGUCUGCUUUUUUCACUCUGAUGUUAGUCAUUUGUAAAGCCAAAAUUCAGACACAGUUCCUAGUUUGUUGAGGUCAUAAUGAGCAGAAAAGUCAGAGUAAAAAACCAAUAUAACUACCUGGCUUCCAUGAAAUAUAUGAAUUAGGAGAGUUAUAAGUCAUUCAAGGUGUUUAUCUGACAUUCUGCCCUUUAAAGUAUCCCUCCUCCCAGUAAAAAGAGCAAUAACCUAGUCACAAAAUCCACUGAACCAAUAGCUAGCAGCGCCCACCUCCCUUUCACUGGCUGAACUUCUGUGCUCCAGCUGUGGCUCAGUCCUCAUGGUGUCUUCCAGGGCAGGCGGAACAACACCAGAUGCGGGCUCCUCUGCAUCCUCCACCCUGGAGCCCUGACACUUAUUUAUCCCUGCAGCUGCCACCAGCUGCCAAGCCCCACCCACUUCAGCUUUAUGAGGAGGGAGUAGGGGGACUCAGCAUUCCUGGUUUUCAAAUUUUCCCAACAAUAACAUCUACACAAGAAUUACAACCAAACAUAACCUGUGAGCACAUAGGGACAAGUUCUAUUUUAUUCUUUUUUGACAGCUUCUCUAUUAGAGACUAAAUUCCAAAGAAAAAAAUCAUUUUCCAUCAUUUAUCUAAUUAAAUUGAAGCAUCUAAACUGAGUCCUAACUCAUGUUUGUAGAUCAUAAUAUGUACACAUCAGUGUUGGCAUUCAUUUCAUUUGGGACCAUCUGAAAGUUUCCCAUUUUCAUUUAUCAGGGUUACCAAAAAUGGUGCUGUGUUGAAAAGAAUAGAAAAUGGGGGGAGAGGGUUGGAGAGGAGAGAAGGUGGGGGAAAAAUGAGGGAGGAGGUAACAAGUUUGAUAAGAAAUGUACUCACUGCCUUACAUAUGAAACUGUAACCCCACUGUACAUCACUUUGACAAUAAUUAAUUAUUUUAAAAAGAAUAGAAUGCAUAGUGACAUUCCUCCUGCAUCUCCUUCCCCCAAAUAGUUUCUUUUGCUGCCAGUACUAUUGCUUAAGUCCAGAGGAAAUAAAUGACCCAGGCCUCAAGAUGAAUGCUAUUUCAGACGGUGAAAUGCAGUUUUCAAAGGCUUGCGCACAGGAAGUUUGGUCUACUGGUGUGUCUUUCUCUCUCUAUUCUUAUCACCCCAUUUGGAGCCAAACUGUUCAGGCUUGAAUCACACAUCCAAGCAGCACUGCUAUGCACAUGAGCCUCAAAGAAAUCCAGGCUGUGCUGAGACACACUGGCUCCAGAAAAGCAGCACCAAAACAAACAAACAGAAAAACCUGGUAUCAAGAAGUCCAUCAGAAGAAAGUCUUCAAGACAUUUUAGAAACCACUUCAAGAAGCCUUGUAAGGAAAGCUCAGAACAGAAAUUUGUCUCACUAGCUAUCUCUCCGUCUUUGCUCUGUUGUCCAGUUCCUCCCAAUCAUCACACAGUAUCUUCCACUCCCUGUAACCCUAAACCAGAGUACCUUGUCCAGCUAGGACUCUGGGAAGAGGGCCCAAUGAAUAAUCAUGGUACCAAGUGUAACCUAGGCUUUGUCCUGGCACUCAGCUGCAUAGCCACUUUCCUAGACUGCCAUUUUCACAGAAGCUUUGCUUGGCCACUAGUAAGGCUGGGGUGGGGGAGGGGACAUCCUCCCGGGACUGCAAGUCCCACCCAGUUUUCUAACCCAGUAGUCUACCACUCAAUUAUUCAAUUUCAUGCAGGACAGAGCCUAAAUACCUCAACUGGCUUAAAACAUUACUGCUAAGAAUUUAGAAAGUAGGUCACUUCAAAUCAAAUUAUUUAGAAUAGUUUUUCUUCCAUUCCCUUUUCCCCCUUCCCCAUACUUCAAAUAUAUAAAAAGAAACUGUGAAGAGGAAGCAAUCUCUUCAAAGAAUACCUAGAAAAGUGAGUGUGCAACUCUUUCCCCUCACCAUUGAAACAAAACUAAGAGCUGAGAAUAGGAUUUUUUUUUUUAAAGCUUCCUUUCUCCUCCAAAGGACUGUGUCUGACAUUGCCCUACCACAGCUUCAUAGACCUCAAUACAAAAUACCAAGUAGCUUCUCAACCACCCAGUCCCCUUGUGAUCAACAUCAGCUAGUCUAAGCCACAGGACUGAAAAGGCCCUGCAUAAAUAAAUUAUGCAGAAAACCCACUGAUUACCCAUCACUCAGUUGAAAGGGCUUUUUUUUUUCUCCUUUUUUGCCAGUACUGGGGCUUGAACUCAGGGC